AAUUUCUAGUGCGGGCACUUUUGAAUCAACGUUUUGAAGCACUCCCAUGCCUCAUAGAAACUCUCCCCUUCCAUCUGUCUAAAGACAACAAUCUCUCUUUUUAUUU
rfam:Gossypium raimondii chromosome 13, whole genome shotgun sequence.